UUUCUAGGGUUAGGGAGUUAGAUUUGUAAAUUAUGAAUUGAUUUCGGGAUUUAGCUUCUUCAGUUUGUUAAAAAACGUUGUUUUGUUGUUUGAAACGGAAGCAACUCACGGAUAGUUAACUCCGUCUUUGCAAUUUUAAGAGAAACUAAAUGUCGUGUUUAAAUCGGCUAAGUCAACAAAACUUAACUAUUUUACGGAAAAGUCAA
rnacentral:lncRNA from 1 species